UGGAGUGAGAGGAUGGUUCAGGUCAUUUGAUCAGGAAAGUCCAGCUUCCAUCGAGUAAUAGGUACUGAUGCAAAUCAGUUAAACGAGAGUUUGGCUCUGACAACAGCAACGUACGCUCUUUGAGCCUGAAACGGGUCAUCACCUAGGAACAAUUGAAACAGAAUCCUUUGAUAUGCUCGAUUAGGAUUCGGGUACAUGCAUAGAUAAAUACCAUCAUGAGAAUUGCAGAAUUAAUUUCAUGCGCUUUAACACAAGCUGGCUUACUCCUCACACCA
rnacentral:RNase_P_RNA from 1 species